UACGUAGGGGGCGAGCGUUGUCCGGAUUUAUUGGGCGUAAAGAGCUCGUAGGCGGCUUGGCAAGUCGGGUGUGAAAACUCCAGGCUCAACCUGGAGAUGCCACUCGAGACUGCUAUGGCUAGAGUCCGGUAGGGGACCACGGAAUUCCUGGUGUAGCGGUGAAAUGCGCAGAUAUCAGGAGGAACACCAAUGGCGAAGGCAGCUCACUGGGACGGUAUUGACGCUGAGACGCGAAAGCGUGGGGAGCAAACAGG
rnacentral:rRNA from 1 species